rnacentral:rRNA from 1 species
GACGAACCGUGCAAACGUUGUUCGGAAUCACUGGGCUUAAAGGGCGCGUAGGCGGGUUCCCAAGUCAGGGGUGAAAUCUUUCGGCCCAACCGGAAAAGGGCUUCUGAUACUGGGAAUCUCGAGGGAGGUAGGGGUCGGGGGAACUUCCGGUGGAGCGGUGAAAUGCGUAGAUAUCGGAAGGAACGCCGGUGGCGAAAGCGCCCGACUGGACCUCUUCUGACGCUGAGGCGCGAAAGCCAGGGGAGCAAACGGG